rnacentral:lncRNA from 1 species
AUUAAUUAAACGAGCCCAGCCCAACAACUCAUCGGACCAAUGAUUACCCAUGACUUGUCUGUACCACUGGUGCCGCAGAGGCCUCUGGCGGUCUUAUUGGCUCACACCACAGUGGGGUCUUCGACUGGAAAACUCAAUCCAACGCGCAGACAAAACUAACCCGAACGCGAACAUCCUCGAUCUUUCUAUCACCGAUCAUACGGCCGCAAAUCACCCUCUCCCUCCAGAAGACCAUUCUAGAAUCCUUACACGUGUCACCACCUAACCCUCACCCGUACUCUCUCUCUAUCUACCCCUAAACCCUUCUCUCUUUAUCCUCUUCCUUCUUCUUCGCAGUCUUCAAGAACUAAAACUGAACUCUCUCUCUCUCUCUCUUACACACACACACACACACACACACACACACACACACACACACACACACACACACACACACACACACACACACACACACACACACACACACACACACACACAC